UGAGCUAAAUCCCCAGCCCCGGCAAUGAAGUUUUAACCUUUGACCCUUAACAAAAGUCAGAACUUAUGGAUUGACAAUAUGGAUGAUAUAAUGGUUGAUGCUAGACUACAAAUAGGUGCAACAGGUGACUUCACAUCUUGUAUAGUGCAAGGAAGAAGUGGUUAUGUGACAAAGCAUCAUGGGAGAGGAGGGUUAGAUAGGAACUUGGGUAGGGAAGACUCCCUGAGAGUAUAGUGAACCUGACCGCAGUCAGAUGCACCCAGACAUGACAAGGUCCUGCCGAGUAGGAGGAACCAAAAUAAAUAUGUCUGUAGGCAGGAAAGAGUCGGUCUGUUUGCAGGGCUGUUGGAGGAUGCAGUGAGACCCGAAGAUGUGAUGUUAGUUGCUUUUGAUAUAGGAAGGUCCAUAUUGAUUCCUUCACAGCCAUGACAGAGGAGGCACGUGUAAGAGCCAGGUAUAGAUGUGUCCUUUCUGGUCCCUGGUAGUCCUGUGAUUGUGUGCUGACAUCUAAGUAGAGGCCACACAUGGUACCCCAUACUAUAGCGGCACGGUCACUGUUCAGGAUUUUCAGGACUAAGAAAUGAUUGUUUAUUCUAAUAGAAAUCUGUAAGUGAUGCUGGGAUGUGAACCAGCACAGUGCUGGGCAAUGCUAGGUGGACCAGCACAGUGCUGGGUGAUGCUGGGAUGUGGACCAACUCAAUGCUGGGUGAUGCUGGGAUCUGGACCAGCUCAGUGCUGGGUGAUGCUGGGAUGUGGACCAGCUCAAUGCUGGGCAAUGCUAGGUGGACCAGCUCAGUGCUGGGUGAUGCUGGGAUGUGGACCAACACAGUGCUGGGUGAUGCUGGGAUGUGGACCAGCUCAAUGCUGGGUGAUGCUGGGAUGUGGACCAGCACAGUGCUGGGUGAUACUGGGAUGUGGACCAGCUCAAUGCUGGGUGUUGCUAGGAUGUAGACUAGCUUAAUUGCUGGGUGAUGCUGGGUGGACCAGCACAGUGUUGGGUGAUUCUGGGAGGUGGUCUAACACAAUGCUGGCAUGUAUUGCAUCUGAGUGAGAGGUUAGUUUCAUAGACUUGGAAAUAUCCACAAAGCACGUUCCAUGAUUCUUUCCUGCUUAAGACUUGCCUCAGCCUACUCUCUGUCUCUUGGCUCUAACACAUUGAGAUGUUUAAACUACCUCCCGACUUUAGCAAACAGCUCAUUCAUAAAUCUUACCCCAGCUCCUGACCAUGCUGCUUGCGACUAGAACUGUAGCACAAUGUUAUAAAUGUGGCGUAAUUUAUAUACGCUGCAGCUGUGCAUAUUACUACCCAUAAUCACUAGCCCGAGUAUUUUUAAACAGCCACUUCUUUCUUGGGAGGACUAUGUUUAGCAUCAAAUAAAACGAGGACUUCUCCUGAAGCAGGAGCGGUUUUCGCUGCUGCAGUUGGGGCAUACUGUUAUAUUUAUGGUUCUUGAGUCUGUUGGCUUUAAAAACGACAUCAUACCUGUGUUUCCUAAAAUAGAAAGAAACUUCAGGACAGUAUGCUAAAAUUUUGUGCUACAGGAAAUAAAUUAAUUUUAUGUUUUCUUCUUACAUCAUAAGUAACUACAGAAAAACAUCCCUAUGUGUCUAAAAGAUGUCUAGCAACACAAAGGGUAAGAGAGGGGGAAAUACUGUCUUCCUAGAAAUUUGCAAGAAAACAUCAAAUACUAUGAAAUUCAAUGUCAUUUAAGUUUUCUCCAUUUGACUUUUAAAAUAAAAUCAAUAGAAUAGGUGUCAUGAGGUUUAUAACCCACUCAGUGUCAUUUUAAAGACAUCAGCCUCUCCCUGAGCCCCCUUCUAAUGUGUCUUUCUAUUGUUGCCCAGGUGUCACAGGUUUUAUUUACCACUGACUGCUCACUAUAGCUUGUUCAGUUCUAAUGACCAUGAAGCAGCUGUCAAGGGCCAGAGGGGGCAGGAGCAAUGGUCUCUGCUGUGCUCUAUUGUUGUAUGCAAGUGUUUUUCCGGAAUCUUCUCAAAGUCUACAGGAAAGCCAUCUUUGCAUUCCUGGGUCUUUCCACUCCCUUCAGACACCUCCCUCUUCCUUCCUCAAUUUGCACCAAGUGGACAAGAACAGUAGAUACCUGGUGAUGUCAGUUUCUGAGGUAUGGGAAGUGCACAGUGACAGAAAGAACCCACAGUAUGACACACAUUCAUUUCUCACUUAUCACAUCCAGGACCUUUCUCCUUAGAGACCUGGGUUAAUCACUUUCUGUUCUGUCAAAAUUGGCAGCACUCUCCUGCAGGGCUCAAAACUCAUUUCUGUAGGGAGACAGCCUUUGUCUGAGCAUAAUGGAACUCCCUGGCCAUGAUACAUCAUGUGCUCUUUUUGUUAUACUAACCUUCUAUUUUAUAAUUGGAUAGUACCUUUUAAUUAUAAAAAAUGAUGAUAAAUUGACUAGAGAAUGCUGCAUAUAGAUAUGGAAGAGAUUUCCUAGCACAUAAGUGUGCUGACAAAUUAACCCUCUAAGAUUCAGGUAAGCUAUUCAUUCAUUUCACCAUCUCUUAGCAAAUUGAAUAAUUAUUGUGGUUUUAUUUGUUUGUAAAAUUUCCCUGUUUUACUUUACCCCUUUGCUCAAUUGUUUGAAGCAAAUAAUCUUCUGGAAGCCACUAGACAGAAUGCCUGGAAUUAGCAUCUGUUUUUCUUGAAAACAAACUUAAUCAUCCAUCUGUGUAUCCCUAAGAAAAUAUGUUUGUUCUUUACUAGUCUGAAACACUCUU
rnacentral:sRNA from 1 species